UGUACAUAUUCAUCCUUAUUUUCUGCAUGAAAAACAUCUUUCAAUAAUUUAUUUACCAGUUUAAUAUUUUAGGAUACCAUUGUCAAGGGGUACAAUCAAAAUCACGUGAUGGAUAUACACACACCGGAAGUAACAGUCGAGCAGACCGCUUGAAAGGUACUUUCUGUGGCAUGUUUUCAUGGUGUGGGAAUAAGACUUGGUGGUCAAAUACAGCUAAUAUGUAGGUUAGCACCACAGCUUGUCUGCAAGGAUUGAAGCUGGGAAACGGCCAUUGGAGCUGAAUUUUAUGGAAGCUGUGGCUGCAGCAAUGAUUAUGUGAUAAAACUGAAGAAUGUUAUUCAAAUUUUUUUGGUAUAUAUUUCAAAAAAUGUAAUUUUUUAUAAAAAAAAAAAAAAAAAAAAAAAAAGGUGUAAAGAUUCUCCAUUUUCAAUUAGAUUUGAAGCUUGUAUUUACAAUUGUUAGAUCUUCUUCGUUAUUCCCCCACCCCCUGUAUCUCUAUUUCAUUUUUACUUUGAAAAUGAAAUGGAACAGACAAAUUUUACUUGUCAACUUAAUAAUGGUCUGUCUAGUCAAAAGGCCUCCAGUUGGUUUAGAAUGGAGAAUCUAAAAAAAAAUA